rnacentral:ncRNA from 2 species
UUCUUAUCAAGAGAGGCGGAGGGACCGGCCCUGUGAAGCCCGACAACCAGCAUAAACGCAUGGUGUUAAUUCCGGCAGAUUCGUGUUUGGGUCUGAGAGAUAAGAG